GUAGAAUUCUCAACUAAACUACUU
rnacentral:tRNA from 1 species